rnacentral:rRNA from 1 species
GACGAACGCUGGCGGCGUGCCUAAUACAUGCAAGUAGAACGCUGAAGAGAGGAGCUUGCUCUUCUUGGAUGAGUUGCGAACGGGUGAGUAACGCGUAGGUAACCUGCCUUGUAGCGGGGGAUAACUAUUGGAAACGAUAGCUAAUACCGCAUAACAAUGGAUGACACAUGUCAUUUAUUUGAAAGGGGCAAUUGCUCCACUACAAGAUGGACCUGCGUUGUAUUAGCUAGUAGGUGAGGUAAUGGCUCACCUAGGCGACGAUACAUAGCCGACCUGAGAGGGGGAUCGGCCACACGGGGACUGAGACACGGCCCAGACUCCUACGGGAGGCAGCAGUAGGGAAUCUUCGGCAAUGGGGGCAACCCUGACCGAGAAACGCCGCGGGAGUGAAGAAGGUUUUCGGAUCGUAAAGCUCUGUUGUAAGUCAAGAACGGGUGUGAGAGUGGAAAGUUCACACUGUGACGGUAGCUUACCAGAAAGGGACGGCUAACUACG